CUCUUUGGCUUUCUCACUAUUUCUCUUGAUCUCUCUCUCAGUUUCUUUCUCAUUGAUACUCGAACAUUCCUCCUUAUUGGGCUACUGAUUUUGAUAUCUCUCCUCAACGCAUUUGCUGUAAAAAGGAAGUUAGUUGUGAUGAUUGUCAAAUGCCGAUUGCAUGGAGAUGAUUGUAUUUCUCCUCCUUUUUGGUCUUAUUCUGGCAGAGAGUAUUCUACCUAAGGGCAUGGAAUAGGAUAUGAUGAAGAGGACAAGGUGCUUGUUUUUCUUUCUUGAAAAAUAAAUGUACCUAAUGAAUCAAUAGCCUAUUUGAUGCCACUGACUAUGAGAUUUUAAGCAAUGCUGAAUUCUUAAAUCCAGGAGGGAGUGUUAAAGAUAGAGUGGUAGCAAAGAUUAUCGAAGAGGUAAUGUGUUCAAGCUCAAGCUAGGGUAGUGAUGAAUUUUCUGACCUUGGAUGGUAGCGACUGAGUCUUGCAAUUUAUGUACCACUCCAUGGAGAGCCACCUGAUACUCUAUCCUCUAGUGGCUCAGAGAAAUGGGUUGUAAAGAAUGAGCAAUCCAUAGACAUCUUUCUCACUGUACGCAUUGCAUCAAUUUCUCUUAUAUAAAUGAGUUUAUUACAGAUAAAUGUUGUUUAAACAAAAUUUUGGGAGCUGUCUAUAACUAAGACUGAAGGACAUUGAAGACAAAGUUGCAAUUUGCUCAUGCAAUGGUUCGUUUAGAUAUUCUUUGGUUUCUUGAACUUAAUUCCUUUUGUAAACUUACUUUAUGAAUAUGUGAUAUUUGGCCAUGUGUUACUUUUGUAGACCUUUGUUGGCUAAUGUGCAACUCAAUAUGACAUUUGAGUACUUAAUAUGCUAUAUUGGCAUGUAGCUUAAUGCAGCAACUAUUUUUGGUCA